rnacentral:rRNA from 1 species
AUUGAACGCUGGCGGCAUGCUUUACACAUGCAAGUCGAACGGCAGCGCGGGCUUCGGCCUGGCGGCGAGUGGCGAACGGGUGAGUAAUGCAUCGGAACGUGCCCAGUAGUGGGGGAUAGCCCGGCGAAAGCCGGAUUAAUACCGCAUACGACCUGAGGGUGAAAGCGGGGGACCGAAAGGCCUCGCGCUAUUGGAGCGGCCGAUGUCGGAUUAGCUAGUUGGUGGGGUAAAGGCUUACCAAGGCGACGAUCCGUAGCUGGUCUGAGAGGACGACCAGCCACACUGGGACUGAGACACGGCCCAGACUCCUACGGGAGGCAGUAGUGGGGAAUUUUGGACAAUGGGGGCAACCCUGAUCCAGCCAUGCCGCGUGCGGGAAGAAGGCCUUCGGGUUGUAAACCGCUUUUGUUCGGGAAGAAAUCCUCUGGGCUAAUACCCCGGGGGGAUGACGGUACCGGAAGAAUAAGCACCGGCUAACUACGUG